rnacentral:pre_miRNA from 1 species
UUGGUGAAAAUUUUCCAGAAAAAAAGUUAUUCGUGAUGGAAUUCAAGGGUGAUAGUGUGAUUUCCAUCACGAAUAACUUUUUUUCUGGAAAAUUUUCACCA